rnacentral:tRNA from 1 species
AUGAGAGUAUUCUACACCAGAUAUCUGGUUUCGACCCAGAAGACCUUACAUACUAAGCUCUCAAA